rnacentral:rRNA from 1 species
GACGAACGCUGGCGGCGUGCUUAACACAUGCAAGUCGAACGGUGAAGCGCCUUCCUUUUUGGUGGGUGUGGAUGAGUGGCGAACGGGUGAGUAACACGUGAGUAACCUGCCCCCUUCUUCUGGAUAACCGCAUGAAAGUGUGGCUAAUACGGGAUAUUCUGGGUCUGUCGCAUGAUGGGUCUGGGAAAGAUUUUGUUUCGGUGGGGGAUGGGCUCGCGGCCUAUCAGCUUGUUGGUGAGGUGAUGGCCUACCAAGGCGGUGACGGGUAGCCGGCCUGAGAGGGUGGACCGCCACACAGGGACGGAGACACGGCCCAGACUCCUAGGGGAGGCAGCAGGGAAGAAUAUUGCACAGUGGGCGGAAGCCUGAUGCAGCGACGCCGCGGGGAGGAUGGAGUCCUUCGGGUUAAGAACCUCUUUCGGCAGUGAAGCAAGCCUGCCUCGUUUGUGGGUGGGUUGACGGUAGCUGGAGAAGAAGCGCCGGCUAACUACGUG